rnacentral:rRNA from 1 species
AAUGAACGCUGGCGGCAGGCCUAACACAUGCAAGUCGAACGAGGGGCGCACGGGUGUGUCAUGUCUGGAAACCUGCCAGAUGGAGGGGGAUAACUAGUGAAACCGGUACCUCAUACAGCAUACCAUCGGAUGUGCCAGGAUGGGCGUAGCGAGUAGGUGGGGUAAAGGCGAACCUAGGCGACGAUCCCGAGCUGGUAUGAGAGGAUGACCAGCCACACUGGAACGUAGACACGGUCAUGACUCCUCCGGGAGUCAGCAGUGGGGAAUAUUGCACAAUGGGCGCAAUCCUGAUGCAGCAAUGCCGCGUGUAUGAAGAAGGCCUUCGGGUUGUAAAGUACUUUCAGCGGGGAGGCGUUACCCACAGAGAAAGCACCGGCUAACUCCGUGCCAGCAGCCGCGGUAAUAC